CAGAGCUCUAGGUUACAGAUCUUGUAGACUAACCUACGAUGUAGGCUUGAUAUGUUCUAUGGUCCCACCAUUGAUGCCCCAUCUACAUCAGAAAUUUCAUGAACAAAUGGUUAUG